CUAAUUAGGCCCUGAUCCAAAGCCCAUUUGAAGACAGUGGGAGUCUUUCCACUGGCUUUAGUAGGUUUUGGAUCAGGCUUUGAGGG
rnacentral:pre_miRNA from 1 species